rnacentral:rRNA from 1 species
CCUACGGGAGGCAGCAGUGAGGAAUAUUUGUCAAUGGACGAGAGUCUGAACCAGCCAAGUAGCGUGAAGGAUGACUGCCCUAUGGGUUGUAAACUUCUUUUAUUUGGGCAUAUAACGUUCCACGUGUGGGAUUUUGUAUGUACCAUAUUAAUACGGAUCGGCUACCUCCGUGCCAGCAGCCGCGGUAAUACGGAGGAUCCGAGCGUUAUCCGGAUUUAUUGGGUUUAAAGGGCGCGUAGGGGGAUUGUUAAGUCAGUUGUGAAAGUUUGCGGCUGAACCGUAAAAUUGCAGUUGAAACUGGCAGUCUUGAGUACAGUAGAGGUGGGCGGAAUUCGUGGUGUAGCGGUGAAAUGCUUAGAUAUCACGAAGAACUCCGAUUGCGAAGGCAGUUCACUGGACUGCAACUGACACUGAGGCUCGAAAGUGUGGGUAUCAAACAGGAUUAGAUACCCUGGUAGUC